rnacentral:rRNA from 1 species
UACAGAGGUGGCAAGCGUUGUUCGGAAUUACUGGGCGUAAAGGGCGCGUAGGCGGCCUUCUAAGUCAGACGUGAAAUCCCCCGGCUUAACCUGGGAACUGCGUCUGAUACUGGAAGGCUUGAGUGCGGGAGAGGGAUGUGGAAUUCCAGGUGUAGCGGUGAAAUGCGUAGAUAUCUGGAGGAACACCGGUGGCGAAGGCGGCAUCCUGGACCGGUAUUGACGCUGAUGCGCGAAAGCCAGGGGAGCAAACGGG